rnacentral:rRNA from 1 species
UACGUAGGCAGCGAGCGUUGUUCGGAGUUACUGGGCGUAAAGGGUGUGUAGGCGGUUUUUUAAGUUUGGGGUGAAAUCUCCCGGCUCAACUGGGAGGGUGCGCCGAAUACUGAAUGACUUCGAGUGCGGGAGAGGAGAGUGGAAUUCCUGGUGUAGCGGUGAAAUGCGUAGAUAUCAGGAGGAACACCGGUGGUGUAGACGGCUCUCUGGACCGUAACUGACGCUGAGACACGAAAGCGUGGGUAGCAAACAGG